rnacentral:misc_RNA from 1 species
GAUGAAGAACGUAGCGAAAUGCGAUAAGUAAUGUGAAUUGCAGAAUUCAGUGAAUCAUCGAAUCUUUGAACGCACAUUGCGCCCGCCAGCAUUCUGGCGGGCAUGCCUGUUCGAGCAUCAUUUCAACCCUCGACUUCCCUUUGGGGAAAUCGGCGUUGGGGACUGGCAGCAUACCGCCGGCCCCGAAAUGGAGUGGCGGCCCGUCCGCGGCAACCUCUGCGUAGUAAUCCAACCUCGCACCGGAACCCCGACGUGGCCACGCCGUAAAACACCCCACUUUCUGAACGUUGACCUCGGAUCAGGUAGGAAUACCCGCUGAACUUAAGCAUAUCAAUAAGCGGAGGA